rnacentral:lncRNA from 1 species
AUGUAUUUGCUGCCAGGUAAAGAAGACAAUCUAUUUCUAUUUUGUGCAUGCCAAAUAAGAGGAUUGAGAAAUAUUGUCAUAGCUAGAGGCUUCUCUAAAAGUAUUCUGCUAAGAAGGCUCCGCCCUGCCCGCUUCUCUCCUGUCUCACCUAGAAGACUACUGGGCUGGAGAACUUGAGAACACCACUUUUCUACAUCUCCUGAAGGACAAGUUCUGGACGACACUAGCACCUUCACUCCACAAAGGUUAGUUUGUGACCUUCUUGCUUUCUAGUAUGUUUUAGGUAAUUUUAGAAAACAAGACUACUGCUUUGCAACAUGGUAGGUAAACAGCAGUUUCCAUUUCAAGGGGAAAUCAUACCUGACCAUCUUGCCGCCUGGGUUCCACUAGAUUAGAAAACAAGCAGAGAUAAACACAGCUUUAGUGAGUUGGUCGCACACUAAGGGAAGGAAUAACUGGGCCUUUUAAGAUAAAUGGAACUGACAAAGGGCAAGUUCUGCAAAGAGUAAACACAGCUCUAGGAAAGUUAUUCUGAACGCUGAUAUCUGCAAAUGAUAGCUGUAUAAUGUUGAUGCAAAGGUCUUUUUCCCAAGAUUUGAAAUAAAAUCCCCGCUUCCACCCCCCCA